AUGCCGUGUAGAAGCUGAAGCUGCACCUCCUGCAUGGCCCCUUUGGCCAGCUGGGCCCCUCAGAUGAGAGCUGCGCCCAGGCCAGCACCAGCCACUCAGUGACCAGCAGCGGCACCCCCCUCUGCAGUUGGCUCUCCUGCUGCUGUGCCCUGGCAGCCAGGUCUGCUGUCCCAGAUGGCAACCACUGCAGCUGGCGUGGCUGUGGGCUCUGCUGUGGGGCACACACUGGGCCACACCAUUACUGGGGGCUUCAGUGUUAGAAGUGAUCCCGAGCCUGCGAGGCCUGACAUCACUUACCAGGAGCCUCAGGGAACCCAGCCGGCACAGCAGCAGCAGCCUUGCUUCCCAGAACCAGGGUGACAUCAAGCUCUGUGAGAGUUUCAGUGAGGUGCUGAAACAAUGCCAACUUGCAAUAACUGGAGAAAUGGAAAACCAGCUCUCAUAACCAAGUUAACUUAAUAUAAAAAUUUAAUUAAUAGUGAAGGUAUAAAGUGUAAUCAUCAGUUAAACCUCUCCUGUCAUUCCUAGCUUCCUUGCCUCUGAAUUGAAAUGGAAGGGGGUGUUCCUACUCUGUAGAAUUUGGAGCUGGUCAAAUGUUUGUGUGGCCUCCUUAAACUCGCUGUUAUGAUUUUAUUCUUUGUGAGUUAAUUAGAAUAAAGUGAUUUUCUUCCAAAUAAAUAAAUAAAUAAAUCAAGUAACAAAAAUUAGCCAGGUGAGGUGGCAUGCACCUGUACUCCCAGCUACUCGGGAGGCUGAGGCAGGAGAAUCACUUGAACCCAGGAAGCGAUGGUUGCAGUGGGCUGAGAUGGCACCACUGCACUCCAACCUGGGCAACAAAGCCAGACUCAGUCUCAAGAAAAAAAACACACACACACACACAAAAACCCCAAACCCUGUAUCCUUUCACUAUUACCUCCAUGCUCCUUCCCAGCCUCUCAGCAACCUCAAGUUUACUUUCUGUCUCCAUGGAUUUGCCUAUCCUAGACAUUUCCUAUGAAUGGCAUCAUAUAAUAUGUGGUCUUUUGUACUUGGCUUCUUUUUUCUUGCUGUCACCCAGGCUGGAGUGCAGUGGCGUCAUCACACCUCAAGCGAUCCUCCCACCUCAGCCUCCUGGGUAGCGGGGCCUACAGGGGUGUAUUGGCAUGUCCAGCUAAUGUGUGUAUUUUUUUUGUAGAGAUGGGAUUUUACUGGGUUGUCCUGGCUGGUCUUAACUGCUGCACUCGAGUGACUGCUGGGAUUACAGGCACCCGCCACCACGCCCAGCUAAUUUUUUAUAUUUUUAGUAGAGAUGGGGUUUCACCAUGUUGGCCAGGCUGCUCUUGAACUCCUGGCCUCAAAUGAUCCAUCUGCCUCAGGUUCCCAAAGUGCUGUGAUUACAAGAGUGAGCCACCGCACCUGGCCCAGAUUUUUAAUCUUUUUUUCCUGUUUUUGAGACUGUAUAUAAUUUCCAUGAAUCUGUCCUCAAGUUUGCUAUCUCCUGCCUUUUGAAAUCUGAGGCUCUCUAGCAAAUUUAUUUGUUUCUGCAUUUUUUUUUUUUUUUUUUUUUUUUUUUGUGAGACGGAGUCUGGCUCUGUCACCAGGCUGGAGUAUAGUAGCACAACCUUGGCUCACUGCAACCUCCACCUCCUGGGUUCAAGUGAUUCUCCUGCCUCAGCCUCUCUAGGCCUUUAGCUGUGCUUGCCUUGUGUUUUCUUUACUCCUAUUUGUUCUUUUUUUUGUUUUUUUUGAGACAAUUUCGCUCCUGCUGCCCAACCUGGAGUGCAAAGAUACGAUCUCGGCUCACUAUAACCUCCACCUCACAGUUUCAAGCGAUUCUCCUGACUCAGCCUCCUAAGUAGCUGGGAUUACAGGUACGUACCACCACGCCUGGGUAACUUUUUGUAUUUUUUAGUAGAAAGGGGGUUUCACCAUGUUAACCAGGUUGGUCUCAAACUCCUGACCUCAGGUGAUCCACUCACCUCGGGCUCCCAAAGUGCUGGGAUUGAUUACAGGUAUGAAUCACUGUGCCCAGCCUCGAGCUGACUCAAAGAAAAAAUAGGGCCAGGUGCAAUGGAUGACCAGGCACCGUGGCUUAUGCCUGUAAUCCCAGCACUUUGGGAGGCCGAGGCGGGUGGAUCAUCUGAGAUCAGGAGUUCAACACCAGCAUGGCCAACAUGGUGAAACCCUGUCUCUACUAAAAAUACAAAAAUUAGCUGGAUGUGGUGGCACCUGUAAUCGCAGCUACUCAGGAGGCUGAGGCACGACAGUAUCUUGAACCUCUGAGGCAGAGGAUGCAGUGAGCUAUCAUGCCACUCUGCACUCCAGCCUGGACGACAGCGCAAGAUUCACUCUCAAAAAAAGAAUCAGCUGGAGUUGCUCAGUGUCAUGCUCAGUGCAUGUUCUUUUGCGUAAUGACUUUUGGGAUGCCUUGACUGCAGCAGGAACCAACAUCCUGGCAUCAUCAGUUGUGCUAGCUGCGUUUCUCCAACUGUGAGCCUCUGCGGGAGGGAACCAGUUCAUCCCACACACAAUGCUGAACUCAGGGCCAGGUACUCUAAAUGUGCUGAAUCUUAAGGACGAGCUUUCCAGAGUCAGGAGGCUAGAAGAUGAAGACCAUCAUUCUCAUUUUCAAAACAUCACAUGAGCAGAAAGGGUCAUGCUGAUGAACUGAAACUUUCCCUGUUCAAGCUGCCCUCCCUUGGCACAUGACAGAAAAAAGUAACAACAGGACUCAAUACCAUCCCUUCAGAGGAAGCCUUUAUUGUAACAUAAAAUACACAAUUUUGUGACUGCCCCAAAUUGUACACAAUACUUUUUUUUGGUGGCUAAAUAACUAAUCUGCCUUGACACUAAAAUAUGUAUCUGAAAUAAUUUCACAAAGUUUUAAAAAGAAAAAUUAUAAAAAGUAUACUUUCAUUUGAUUUUAGUCUCCCGCUACCCCCUACAAAACCCUGCACAUAGCACACACGGAGCUGAAACAUUUGAGGACUUGCGUGUGUCUGGGAGUGGAUGGAGGCUGAUGGGGUCGAGACACACCACUACCUUUCCUUGUGGUCUGCAGGAGCAGGGAGAAGAGAGAAGAUAGAACGCAGAGAGCGAACACACCUUUUGUCAAAAAUCUCCCCUCCCUAGGCACAGCCUCGGUAACACCGAGGACAGCUCACAGCUGGAGGAGCAGGGGAACCCCACGCUCAGUGAAGCCACACUCAUCGGCUGUCUUCCUCCCAGACCCAGUGCUAACUGCAAAGUGAGCUCCAAGCAGCCCGGGACUGCCUGGCUACUCUGUCCUCAGCAGGCCCUGGGCUGGGUCCACUCCCAACCUGAAAGUGUAUCAAGUCCGACCCUCCCAGGGUUGCUGGAACAGAGUGGGAGGUCUCAGAGGCAGGUGCCGGUGAAGAAUCUAUGGGUGGUGGGCAGGGAGGGGCUCUCUGAGCCUGGGUUCCUGAGCAGUCAGGCUCUCCUUCUCGCCUUCCCUGAUGCACCCAACCUCACGGUGGGAAUUUUCAAAUCCUGAGGGGGAGGGAGGGGCUGAGUGGGAUAGGGGUUGCCUGCUCCUCAGAGGCAGUGAGACUCUACUGCCUGGCGUAGAAAAAUAAAUCAGUGUAUGAAACCAAGCCAAGGCAAACGGCAGCUUUAAAAAAGUCAUCUUCCAAUAAAUAAUUUACUAUAGAGGAAUAUUUUUCUUUAACAGCAAAACACUGGUAAGUUCAGAAGUUAUUUUUGUAAAAAAAAUAUGUUUAUUUACUCUCAUGUAUAAAAAUAAGGUUUUGGGGGCCAUCCUCUCCUGGGGGUGGUCAUGCCCUUCUUUUGGAGAGGGGGCCGAGGGUGACCUAUUAGGCCUUACCCGUAAGCUAUUUUAAUACACCUGCUCACCCCCUUCGUCCCCCACUGCCUGCCGUAGCCCAUUCCUUCCUUCUGGUGUAAAGCUACAGAAGAAAUUGUGGAACAAAAUUAUACUGAUGCUUUUUGUUUUGUUUUGUUUCAUUUUUAUACUUAAUCAAACUCCCCAGCAAACCUGGUGACUGCAUUUCCCCACAUCACCAACACCUGGCACCCAGGACCCCACGCGGGGUGACCCGCUGAGCAAGCUGGCCUAGGUUCAGCCCACACUGCUGCCACCUACUCUUCAGUAUGUCAUGUAUGAACAGAAAAGGGAAAUGAGGUGACCUGGGUUCGGAUGACCCAGGGCCCAAUGCAGAAGAAUUCUGAUGUCAAAUUAGGGUGGGAAGGGGAAAACAAAAUAGAAACAGAAACAUGAUUCAACAUUUGCAAAAA